rnacentral:lncRNA from 1 species
GGGUUAUCCUCGGUUUGAUGAUGGUGAUGGUGAUGCAUGGACGGGGCUGAUGAAGUUUCGGGGAGAACGUUUCCGUAGUUAGGAGAGGUUGUUACAGGCAACAUGUUGAAGAACUUGUCCUUCUGUUGGUUAAUCCAGUUGUAGCUCAUGUGGAUUGGUGGCUCAGCGUGGUGGUAUGACCCGUUUUGGCCAAUCAUUAGAUUUGGAUCUCGACCGGGUAGAAACGGUUUAGUGUUCCGGUCAGCGCUUGACAUUAGCUGCAAACCGAGGUUGCCUUUGAACGUAGCAGCAGCUGGUUCGUAGUAACCCCAAUUGCGAAACCCAUCGUCAUCCAUUUUCAAAGAUCUACAAAACAUGUCAAUAUAAAAAAAAGACAAUCAGAGAUUCAAAUCCAAAUUCAGACAAAACAAAAGCCAGUUCAUGUUCCAAUUAGCCAAAAUCAAAUCAUCCUACCAUUUAUUAUAUCCAAUGUUCCAGAGAUAACACAUCAGAUGUUAAAGAUAGCAAGAAAACAAAAAUUAGAGUGGAUAUAUACAUGAAAUCCAGGGAACUUUUAUAUGAUAUUCCGACAUAAGAACAUUUUCUUGUCGGAACCAACAUGCACAGCUUCUAGAUCUGGGGAGUCCAGAGCUAGAUCUACGGAAAAUGGACAUGAAUCAAGGAGAUCCACAGCCAAAAUCUAAUGAAACAUCAAGAUAUGUACAUAUAUUGGACGGAGAUAAAAGGAUUUGAAGCAAAAGCGUUGUUGGUACAGUACAGGAAAAAAAGGUCCCAUUGUAAAUAUUCAAAACUGAGAGAAAGAGAGAGAGAGGCAUGAUAUGGAAAUGGAUUAGGAAAGAGAAAACUUACAUAUGAGAUUGGGUUAACAAACGGCUCUUUAAGGGAAUUUUUGCCCUUCUGGAGAGAGAGGAGAGAGAGAGAUUGGAGGGAGGGAGGAAAGAGAAGGAAGAGAGAGGAGAGAGAAACCUGAAGGGAAAGAUAAGAUCUGAAGAAAGGGAAAGGGUUUUUAUUUUUAUUUUUUUUGAGUGGAACAGAGAGAGAACCCUAAAAUAAUUGAAAAUCAUUUUCUAAUUUUAAAAUAUACACAAUCUAAAAUAAAUAUCUUUCCAAAAGGCUUUUUUCAUUUUUCUCUCCGCGUUGUACUUGAAAUGAAGACUUUCUUUUUAUGUUUGGUCACUGUAAGAAAGCCAUUUGAGAAGAAGACAAAACAAAAAAAAUAACAAAGCCCACUUAUUGGUCUUUUUGACAUCGUGUCAAAACCAAAUUUUUUAAAAGGCAACGAGAUCGUUCGUGAAAAGAUGAGACGAGGAACAUGAGAUUAUGAAGAAAAAAUACUAAUUCUUCAUAAAACUUUCUAUUGGUAAUUUUUUUUUUCUGUAAUAACAAAUUCUGUGUUUAGCAAACCGAACGUUUUGGGAAUGUUAAGACACAAGUGUAUCCAAUGUGAAGCUCAUAUUUUAUACAUAUAUUGCAUUGCUCAUAGUCAGAGCUUGUCCCUCGCAAAUCAUAAUAAUUCCAUUCCUGUGCGUUCUCUGAACCAGAACUUCGCUGAUUCCCCCAAAGUUAUCAAAUAGAUUUAAACAGAUGCAAAUAUUGCACAACGAUCAUGACUACCUUGAAUAAGAGAUUUGACAUUUAUUACAUACAAAAAAAAAGUCCGAAGGUAUGAUCAUCUUUUACAAUCCAUAAAAUAUAUAGAAAAGGAUACACGUAAGUAAUUUUAAUUUCCGUAGCCCAAAAUAACGAGAAGAAGAGAGAGACAGAGAAGAGAUGCUUUUUCAGGAAAUAAUCAGGCAUUAACAUUGUCAUUUUAUCUCUCUUCUUUCUAACAACCCAUCUCUUUAUCUUUUCUUUGUUCUAGCAAAAAUUCUUAAGGAGGCAGAAGAAGAAGAGAACCAUCGUAAGAAGAUAAAGACUUCUUACUCGCAUUUGAUAGACCGGUAAAUGUGACGAACGAAGAAAAGUGCAGCGCGGAAGCCGACAGUCCCGAGCAUUAAGAAGAACCCGUAGCAAAUGCAAGCCAUGUACCCGAAGAAGAACGAUGUUUGCAUGAAUCCAGACAUGUCUGAUCGUGCGUAGUAGUAGUAUAAGCAGUAGGCGUAGAUAAACAAACCGGUCGACCCACCGCAUAGGAAUGAUCUGCAAAUAAAAACAGUCUCAGGUUCUAUUGUUCAGAGAGAGAAGAAGGUAAAGACAAUGGGAAAUGGCUUAACGAACCUCCACCACCAUUGGUGAUCUUCAGCAGCGAGCUGGAAGUAAGUCAAGGCGACGGUUAUAAAAGCAGUGACAAUGAUGAGGAUGAUGAAGACAAUGAACAGGAUGCUGUAGAUGGUGUAGAUCCGGUGACCCCAGACACUAGCGAAAAUGUAGUAAAGCUCGAUGUAGAUGGCACUGAAAGGAAGAAAACCAGCCAUGGCCAUCUGAGGAACCGCGCUUCUGUACCAAGGGAGCGGCGGAAUCUCGCGGGGGUACUUGGUCGUGCGGCAGGGCGCUUGGAACUCAGCUUUGCUGUUUUUACCGGCGAUGCCACCUAAGACGAGUAGAGGCGAUGUGACUAGAGUCCAUAUAAGGACGAUCACGACAAUGGUUCCAAAGGGUAGUGCUGCGGUUGCAGUGUAGGUGAUGGCUACGGUGUUGAGGAAGCAGAAGGUUAGGAGUAAAGGACCGCAGAAGAGACAUCCAGUGAGUAACAAGUUUCUCACCUGCAGUAAUGUGAAACAAAAAAGUCGUUUAGUUUAUGUAAGAAGAUGAUUUGAGAAAGGAUUUGAAGUAAAAAUUAUUUACCCAGCUUUUGCCUUCAAGUUGGCAGUAGAAAGAGGCGGAUGUGUAUCCAGCAAUUCCAGAGGUUAGAGCGUAAAUGACAACCAAAGCGGUGAAGAGUGCUCCUCGGUUGUAAGGGUAGAACACUCCAACAAGAGCAAGCAUGAAAAUGAAUAUGGUCCUGAUGGGCGUGGACAAGCAAGGUAAACGCUACUGUGAGUGAUAGUGAAGAAAUGGUUUAAGUAGAGUUAUGAAACACUUACAGGGUAAACAAUUGUGUGCCACUACCAAGCGAUGCAGCAAACAAAGAGUUGCGAGUUGGGAACCUAAACACAUCACCAUGAAUGUACUUCCACCCAGUUUCUUCUAGAUCAUCAGCAGCUUCCUCGUCUUGAGCAUACCUGUAAAAAGAGUUAAUUAUCAGACAAUGAAAUGUAAAAUAGCCGAACCAUAAGGGGUAGGGAACACUCACUUGGUGAAAUCGUUCUUGAGGACUCGCAUCAAGAUAGUUGCAAGGAACCCAGUCAAAAGCAGGACAGUGACACACGAGUUAAUAAUAGAGAACCAGUGAAUCUCCAGGUGAUGCGGAAGAGAAGAAGACAUAGAGUACUUGUCCAUCCUCUUCUCGAACGGAGUCUCAGUCUCCUUCCACUUCACCGUAUACAUAAACUCCGCAUCAACUUCCUUAUCCUCAGUGAGAUCAACAAGCGAAUGUGGAUCCAUCCUAGCACUGAUCUCAAUCACACGGUCGUUGUUGUACAGAAUCUCGAACUCGAUGUGCUUGUACAAAAAGUACUUGUACUCGCUCGGAUCGGAUUUGAUCUCCUUGUCGACUUUCCCAAUGAAGCCCCAGAUGGGGAGAUCGUCGUAGUACAUCUGGAAGUAGUAGUCUUUCUCAACGGCUUGUCUGAACUUUCUGACCUCUUCUUUGCUUAGCUUCUUCUUGCAGUAGACUUCGGAGUCUUUCUCUUCUCUGAAGUUGAGCUUGUACGGAGCGCUGACGAGACGAUCGCCGUUCAGAACCUCUCCAAGAGCUUCCUUCUUCUCUUUCACUCCCUCUAGAAAACCAAAAUCAAACGUAUAUCAGAUAAGAAAAAAAGAAAAAAAAAACAAAUAGUGUGGUGAAUCUAUAGUACCUGGAACACAGAAGGGAAGAUCAAAGUAGCGAUACGUCUCACUGCGAUCAAAAUCGAAUAAGAAGCCAAGAUCAGUCUAUAUAGUAUUCAAAUCUAAACUCAGAUCCAUCCAUCACAAUGUCUAUAUGAAUAAUUCAACAGCAAGAGAUUCAUUGCAUUUCGCAGCUUUUACAAUCAAUCGCUGAUACAUUCUCAGAUCUGAAGUUCAGAUCUAGCGGAAAAGUCUCAGAGACACACGCGAGCGUUACCUUGGAUUGUGGAAUGGGCCGACCUUGUUGGCGUAUAGAGGAACGAUGUCUCCUUCCUUGUAACGGUGGUCGGAGGCGUCGGAUCUGACAUAGCCGACGCUGGAGAGGAUUAGAGCUCCGAGUAAGAGGAGCAGCUUCGUCAUUGCGUUUUCUCUUCUUCAAAUCAGUGAGAUCUGAGUUUGUGUUUGUGCUUUAUGAAUCUGUAUCCGACCCUCUCGAGGAGAAUUAAUCAGCCCUGUGAGUUAUAGACGAAACCGUAUUCUGGUUUACGGAUGGGCCACUCGAUUUAAAUGGGCCUUUUAAUAUCUAUAUGUAAUUGGGCCUUUUGAUAUUCAUAUGUAUAUCUGCUCCUAGUAUCCACACAUGCUUACUUUGUUGGAGAUACUUAAAACGCUUGAUGUGCCAUCUUACAAGGUAACAACAAAGCUUAGAGAGUUUUAUCGAACUAGUUUUCACUGAUUAUUGAAUUUGAGUUUCUUGUUGUUGUGUUGAGGUUCAUUUUUCAAGUGCAGUGUAUAGCAGUAUCUAAAUACAACCAACAACGAGUUCUUGGUCUAGUGGUAAAAGAGUGUCUAGCAGACACUCCACCACUCGGAUUCAAUUUUCAUCACAAAGAACUUUUACAUUGUGUAACUGGAUCAAUGUUAUAAUGAAUUUAAGCUUCAAAACUACAACAGAAAAAUUUAAAACAUUAGUCUUGUAAGAAGAUAAACUGUCGUCUUCUUGACUCUAAUGAAUGUACAAGUCUUGUAAAAGAGUUUUAGAAGCUGUGUACUCAAAGCAUGUGCAUGUGAACCUUCUUACAAAAUGCUUGGUCCGCUUCGAGGGCAUUCACUUUCAUUUUUAGCGUGUCCAUGACAUCAUAAGCUCCUCGUAGUUUCUUCCUCAAUGCAUCCUCAGUCACAUCUCUGCGUCCUCUUUCUUCUUGAAACACAUCCAUCACUGCCUUCUGCGACUUUUCAAACUCUUGGUUCUUUGCUUGUGACACCUUAAGUUGUGACUCAAGCAACCCUCUAUCUCUCUGCAGCUCUACCACCAAUUCAUCUACAACCUUUUGAGAUUCCUCCAAAUCCUGGAUCUUAGCUUUAUGUUCAUGUAACUCCUCCACCAGUUUUGAUGAUUCAACAUCUUUCACCUUGAGUGAAUCCUCCAAGUCUUGGACUACAGACUUUGAUAACUCAAGACAGGCUUUCUGUCUCUGGAGAUCAUCCUCUUUGACCUUGUGCCUCUUCUCCAAAUCUUGAAUUUUAUACUGUGACUGCUUGAUUUGCAACUCAAGCUGUCCCUUCUGUCUCUGCAGCUCAACCACAAGUUUUGCUGACUCAUAAUCUUUGACCUUGGGCCUCUUCUCCAAAUCUUGAACCUUGGAUUUUGACUGUCUGAGUUGCAGCUCAAGCUGUCUCUUCUGUCUCUGCAACUCAGCCACCUGUUUUGUCUCUACAUUUUUUAAAUUUCUUGUCUUCUCCUCAAGCUGUGCUUUCUGUCUCUUCUCCAAUUCUUGAACCCUAGCUUUUGGAUGUCUGACUUGCGGCUCAAGCUGUGCCUUCUGCUUCUGAAACUCAGCUGCUUUAUGAACUGACCUUGUUUCCUUGCAACUCACCCCAAGCCCAUUAGUCCUGUUCUUAAGCCCAAUCUCAUGCGUUCUGUUAGCAACACUUGGUUGUGUAGUCUCCUUCUGAGAGUUUCUAUUUGGCCUGCACUGAGCUGGAUCUGCACUAGUAGGAGCUUCAGUGACACCACUUUCAUGAUUCUUCUGAAUCCUCCUUGGAGCAUACCCAAUCUCAUGACACCUCUUAGACCAAUAAGUCUUCUGAUACUUGUUCAACCUGUUCUCAACUCUAGCAAGAAGAGCGCUUAAAACAACUAUUACAGUAGUUAGAAGCGACAGAGGAGGCGAGUAUGUUGGUCCAUUCAAUGCAUUUUGUAAAGAACAUGGAAUAAUCCAUCAAACUACAGCUCCUUACUCACCAGAAUCUAAUGGAGUUGCGGAACGCAAAAAUCGAACUCUAAAAGAGAUGAUGAAUGCAAUGUUGCAGGAAUCUGGGUUACCCCAGAACAUGUGGGGGGAAGCNNNNNNNNNNNNNNNNNNNNNNNNNNNNNNNNNNNNNAAGAACCGAACCGAUCCCAAUUCGAAUAAGUAGUAUCAAAUCUGAACCGAAAUUGAUUAAAUAUAUGAAUUAUUAAAAGUUUUGGUAUUUGAAGAACUGAAACCUAAUCCGAUCCAAACCAAAGUAUUUUGGGUAUCCAAAAUAGAUUUAUAUACUUAUAUAUAUUAAUUAUUUUUAGAUUUAAUAUAUAUAAAAACAUCCAAAAUAUACAGUAUAACCACUUUAAAUUAAUUCUCUAUAAAUUAAUAUACACUGAAAAUCUCUAUAUAAUAAUAUAAUUUUAUAGUCACAAAAUGAGUUUUUGGUUUAAUUAGUAUAUCGUUAAAUUAAUAUCUCUAUAAAUUAAUAAAAAAAUUAUAGUUUUGGUGUAGUCCCAACAUUAUUAAUUUAUAGAGGUUUCACUGUAUAUGAUAUUUUUAAGUUCAUUUAAAUACUUAAAAAUAUAUAAAUAAUCAAAUGUAAAUAUCUAAAAUAGUUAAAACUAGGUGUUUCUCCCGCAUUUGCGGGUUUAAGCAUUUUAUAAUUAUUUAUUAAUAUAUGCAUUACUAAAUAAGCAAUUAUAAUGAUAAAUUUCUAUUUUUUUUUAAAAAAAAAAAAUUGUAAUUAUUAUAAUUUUUUGAAUUUUUUUGUAUGCUAUAUUCAACAUUAAAUAAUAAAUGCUAGAAAUCACUCAAUACUAUCUUUUCAAUUAUAUAAAUUAAGAAUUUAUAUUGAUUCAUAUAAAUAUUUUAUUCAAAUAUAUUUUAGGAUAACCACACAAUAUAUAUAAGAAUUAUCUUUUGUUUUAAAAUAACUAUUUUUAUUUAUUUUUUAGAUUUUAGAUAAUUCUUAUUAUUAUUAGUGUUAAUCACUUACCUUGUAUAAGAAAAUUAAAACUUGUUUUUAUUAUAGCUAAUUUUUAUAUUUUAUUCAUUAAGGGUAACAUCGUAUUUAACCACUAUAACUUUUAAAGUGAGAUCUCCGUGGCGAAAAAUCACUUCGCAAAUAAUAAUAUAGACUAGGUGUUUUGCCCGCACAUGCGGACAUAGUCAUCUUACAAAUACUUAUUAUUUUAUGUCUUAUUAAUCCAAAAAUCAGCAUAAUAAAACUCUAAUUGGUGAACAUGUUGAAGGAAAAAAAUUAUGGUGAAUUCUUUGUUUCUCAAAAUUUAUACCAGUUAUGUUGAAAUUUUAGUCAAAUUAUUGAAAGGUAGAUCCCACUUUUUUCUUUUAAAUUCCCCAUGGAAGAAUGAAUUUAUAAGAAAAAAUUUCCCUAUGCAAUUUUGAUAAGGAAAAAAUUGAACAAAAAUUCAUAUAUUUUUUUAUUUUUUCAAUUUCUCAAAUGAAAUUUUAUUUUUUAUUUUGUUCAUUUUUUUUAUUCUUCCAGUGGUCACCAACUGAAGCUAUAGUGUUUCACGAAUUAGACUUAAACUGAUUUAAAGUAAAAGCAAGAAAAUUUGUUUUGAACUCAGUCACAAGUUAAGUUAUUAUUUAUGAUUUUAAAUAGCUAAAUAGAACAUCAAAUUAUUUAUAUAUGUCAAAAAACGUUCAUAAAACUGUGUACUUAUUAUUGUGUUAAAAGUUUUAAAACACUCAUCUAUUUGAAAUAGUUUAUAAAAUAUCUUUAUAUUAAUAUUUUUGUUCGACAAAUAUUUAAUUAUAAACUGUUUUAUAUCUUAGUUUUUUAACUUUAUAAUAAAAAAAUAUUGUUUUCAGAUAGCAACACAAUAUAUAUAAGAAUUCUCUUAAUUUUUAAAUAUAUUUUCACAAUUUUAUUAUAUUAGUUUAUAAUUAAUUAUUUAAUAUAACAUAUAAAUUUAAUAUUAUUAAAAUAAAAUUCGUGUUUUAUUAUAUAUAAAAUUCAUUACGGGUUUUGUGAAAAUUAAUAAAUACUCAGUUAAAAACUAAUAAUAAAUCAAUGACCUAUAUAAAAGCUUAAAACCUAAUAAAAUAUGACGAAUAAGAAAAUGAGAAUUUUAAUAUAACAUACAGACUUAAAUAUUAUUAAAUCAAAAUUUAUUUUUAAUUAUAUAUAAAUUCAUUACGAAUUUUUUUAAUUAAUAAAUUAGUGAUUCAACUAAAAAUUAUUAAUAAAUCAAUGACUAAGCUAAAACCUAAUAAAACAUGACAAAUAAGCAAAAUUGACUAAAAUCAUGGAAAAUAUGACAAAUAAGCAAAAUUAAAAUAAUUAUAUAUCUAAUUACAUAUUUUAUAGUUAUAGUAUUUAAAUUAAUAAAUUAUGGGCUCAACUAAAAACUAUUAAUAAAUUAAUGACUCAGCUUAAAUCUAAUUAAAUCUUGACAAAUAAAAAAUAUUAUCUAAAAUCAUGGAAAUCAUGACAAAUAAGCCAAAUCACUUCAUAAAUAAUAGUAUAGAUUAUCCAUUAAUAACUAUUUACCUAUGUUAUAUUUGUAAAAAGAAAAUUCCCAUGCGAAGCAUGGGCUCAAACUAGUAUAUACAUAAACCCUGUAUUUACUCCACCCAUAAACCCUAAAUACUAAAUCAGCAAGUCGAUCGAUUCUCUCUCGGAAGCUCUUCUUCAGUUGUGACCGUGAGUGCUCAUUGAGGUAUCAUAUCAUCUUCUUCUUCUCUUCUUCAAGAGCAUAAAGACUAGUGUUUUUUAUCAAUUCAUCAAUGCCCUUCUAGUGUUUUUUUUUUUUGCUUGCUUCGUAAUCUUACAGGUGUUUCUUGUAUCUCUUGAAAUAAGGACUUGUGUCUUAACAUCAAACUUGUUUGAUUUGUUUUUUCAGAUGCUUCAGAUUGCUUUUUAUUUGUCAUGUGGUGCCACAGCAUGUUACCUUUGGGGCCGGAGGAUUAAAGCGUUAGUCUUUUCCUCUUCCCAACCCUUUUGGAUUUUGAAUGUGUUGAAACACCUUUUAUCAAUCGAUAUGUGUGUUUGUGUUCCUGCGAUGGUGCAGGAAAGCUGACUCUUUUAGCAGUAUCACACGUGUGGUGGACUUCAAACGGUUAGGUGUGUUUUCUGUUUUAUAGUUAAGACUCUUGUUAUUAUUAUUUUAUUAAUUGGUUUCUGAUUACAAGUGAUCAUCAUGUUUUUUUCCUUCUCUUAGAUGAGCUGCUUAAAGAGAAAGCCUCGAAGCUCCUUGUUGUUGUGUCGGGAAAAGUUGCUUCUGCACUCCUUUGGGUGCUGUUUUUUAUGCUAAGGUAAAAGACUUCUUUUAUCUUCUAAAAAGUUGUCGUCAGCAUCAUCGUUCUCUGGUCUGGUGGUGUUAUUUUUAGUUAGAACAACAUGUAUACUGUGUCUUUCAGGCCGAAAUGGGGUGUACUGAGACCGAGUUGGGGGAUGAUGGUAGCGCUUGGAUAACAAAGUCUCAUAAUUUUCUGUUUCAAGUAAAGCGUUGUCCUUGGUAUCUUGUAAGUUACAUUCUCAAAUACCUUCAUUUUUUUUUUUGCUAUGUCUUGCCUGCCCCUCAUGACUUGAAGCCUACCUCUUUCUCUCGCUCGCUCAAUCAACUAUUUAGGAAGACAGUACUGGUGUGGUGAAAGUAGUGGGAGCUGAAGCUGCUGAUGACUUUCUUGAUACUCUGACACCGCAUUUGGAUAUGUCACUAAGUGAAAUCUUUGGUAGUAUUGUAGAACCUAAACAAGGCUCUCAGGUUACCUUUUCUCUUUCAUUUUUUUUUUGUCUUUCUCUGUUUAUUUUAGUCUUUUUCAUUGGGUUGGAACCAACAGUGUGAUUGUUUUCAUCUCUAGACGAUUUUUCGGGCUUCUCUCGAUACUGGUACCUCCUUAACUAUUAUUGGCGAGGUAAAGGAAGCCCCCAUGUGUUUAUUCUUUAUAUUGUGGAUCAUGUAAGAGUGGCUGUGCAAGCUAAUAUAAGUUGAUGUGUCUGUGUCCUUGUCUGUACUGUAGGCUGCUAGAGACGAAGCUGGUAAUCUCACGAUUCAAAACACCAAUGAACAGCCUUUUAGGAUCUUCAGUGGAGAGGGCUCGUUUGAUAAAAUGGUUGCCAACUUGAAGUCAAAUUCAGAGUAAGGACAGAGACUCAUCAUGUUUUUGUUUAUACAUGGUGAUGAUAAUCAAAUUUUCUUGUGUUAUUUUUUAUGCAGGUUUUAUUUUUUCUAUUCCAAGAUCUUUGGAACUAUUGCUUUUGCUAUAGUUGUUUUUAAAGGCGUGAGUUUCAUACGAAGGGUUUUACGUGAGAGAGCAGAUAAUGCUGAUUCAGACGACGAAGAAACGCCAUGAGGGAGUAGAAUCAGACAACAGUAGUUUAUAGGAUCAGCUUUAAAGGCUCAGGCAGAAGAAUCAGACACCAAUGAUUUAUAACUAGGAUAGAUUUUUUAUCUAUGGUAUUGGGUAGGCAAAAUGUUUAUGAAUAUUUUAACAAACCAUCGUUUCUUAUUCUGACAGAUGAACAAAUUUAAAAAAAAAUUAUAUUGUCCAAAUUAACUAUGUGAUUCUAUUACAUAGUUGAACACACGUUGAUUUAUUCUAUUUAUAGCUUUACAAAACUUGUUAAAAGGAUAUAAUUUAAUUUAAAUAAGAACAUUAUUUCAAUGUAAUAAAAGCAGACAUUUUCCCUUUGUUUGGAUCAAAUUAAUGUAAACAGCCAUUAAAUUAGUCAAUGAACAUAAAUUCACCAACUCGGACAUAUAAUGUACGAAAUAAAAACAUUUAAUUAAAAAGAAUAUCUGUUACAACUUACAAGUCAGUAAAAUGUUUAUAAAAAUAACAAAAGAAAGAGAAAAAAAAAAUACAAAAGUAAAAAAAAUUCAAACUUCCCUUGCAGAUUUUCUUCCUCAGACAUACAAACAAACAAACAGAACAUAAAAAGCAACCGUAUGAUAAAACAACUCUUAAACUCAGAUGGGGUUACCUGAAACUAAUCAUCUGAUGGUGACGAACUUGUUAGUCCCAUGUCUAGCCCAAUGGCUCUUAAGAUCAAUGGGGCUCCCAAAGUUAAACCCAUCAGAAGAAAGUUUCUCAAGAACCUUCUUAAACGCUCCUUGACUCAUCUUCCUCCCGGAGAUCCUCGCUCCACGGCGUUUAGUACUCAUCGGCAACGGGUGCAUCGAUAUGUUCGUGGUGCAACACGCAGACUGCCAACCGCCGCAUCCCCAACGGUAGCAUUGCUGAGGAGCUCCGGUGCAAGUGCAGACCGGUACAGGUAAACCGGAAAUGUCCAUGUUCACUCCGUUGAUAAUCAAGUCAACGCUUUUCUUAGCCGGUUUGACUCUUGAAACGUUAGUCUUGCUGUCGUUCUCUUCUUUCGGUUUACGAGGCUUCUUCCCCUUUGCUGUUGCGCUAGCUUUUGAGUUAGUCUUUCUCUUCUUGUUAGGCUGAACAAUCUCUUCUUCUUCUUCGCAUUUAACCGGGUUAUCCUCGGUUUGAUGAUGGUGAUGGUGAUGCAUGGACGGGGCUGAUGAAGUUUCGGGGAGAACGUUUCCGUAGUUAGGAGAGGUUGUUACAGGCAACAUGUUGAAGAACUUGUCCUUCUGUUGGUUAAUCCAGUUGUAGCUCAUGUGGAUUGGUGGCUCAGCGUGGUGGUAUGACCCGUUUUGGCCAAUCAUUAGAUUUGGAUCUCGACCGGGUAGAAACGGUUUAGUGUUCCGGUCAGCGCUUGACAUUAGCUGCAAACCGAGGUUGCCUUUGAACGUAGCAGCAGCUGGUUCGUAGUAACCCCAAUUGCGAAACCCAUCGUCAUCCAUUUUCAAAGAUCUACAAAACAUGUCAAUAUAAAAAAAAGACAAUCAGAGAUUCAAAUCCAAAUUCAGACAAAACAAAAGCCAGUUCAUGUUCCAAUUAGCCAAAAUCAAAUCAUCCUACCAUUUAUUAUAUCCAAUGUUCCAGAGAUAACACAUCAGAUGUUAAAGAUAGCAAGAAAACAAAAAUUAGAGUGGAUAUAUACAUGAAAUCCAGGGAACUUUUAUAUGAUAUUCCGACAUAAGAACAUUUUCUUGUCGGAACCAACAUGCACAGCUUCUAGAUCUGGGGAGUCCAGAGCUAGAUCUACGGAAAAUGGACAUGAAUCAAGGAGAUCCACAGCCAAAAUCUAAUGAAACAUCAAGAUAUGUACAUAUAUUGGACGGAGAUAAAAGGAUUUGAAGCAAAAGCGUUGUUGGUACAGUACAGGAAAAAAAGGUCCCAUUGUAAAUAUUCAAAACUGAGAGAAAGAGAGAGAGAGGCAUGAUAUGGAAAUGGAUUAGGAAAGAGAAAACUUACAUAUGAGAUUGGGUUAACAAACGGCUCUUUAAGGGAAUUUUUGCCCUUCUGGAGAGAGAGGAGAGAGAGAGAUUGGAGGGAGGGAGGAAAGAGAAGGAAGAGAGAGGAGAGAGAAACCUGAAGGGAAAGAUAAGAUCUGAAGAAAGGGAAAGGGUUUUUAUUUUUAUUUUUUUUGAGUGGAACAGAGAGAGAACCCUAAAAUAAUUGAAAAUCAUUUUCUAAUUUUAAAAUAUACACAAUCUAAAAUAAAUAUCUUUCCAAAAGGCUUUUUUCAUUUUUCUCUCCGCGUUGUACUUGAAAUGAAGACUUUCUUUUUAUGUUUGGUCACUGUAAGAAAGCCAUUUGAGAAGAAGACAAAACAAAAAAAAUAACAAAGCCCACUUAUUGGUCUUUUUGACAUCGUGUCAAAACCAAAUUUUUUAAAAGGCAACGAGAUCGUUCGUGAAAAGAUGAGACGAGGAACAUGAGAUUAUGAAGAAAAAAUACUAAUUCUUCAUAAAACUUUCUAUUGGUAAUUUUUUUUUUCUGUAAUAACAAAUUCUGUGUUUAGCAAACCGAACGUUUUGGGAAUGUUAAGACACAAGUGUAUCCAAUGUGAAGCUCAUAUUUUAUACAUAUAUUGCAUUGCUCAUAGUCAGAGCUUGUCCCUCGCAAAUCAUAAUAAUUCCAUUCCUGUGCGUUCUCUGAACCAGAACUUCGCUGAUUCCCCCAAAGUUAUCAAAUAGAUUUAAACAGAUGCAAAUAUUGCACAACGAUCAUGACUACCUUGAAUAAGAGAUUUGACAUUUAUUACAUACAAAAAAAAAGUCCGAAGGUAUGAUCAUCUUUUACAAUCCAUAAAAUAUAUAGAAAAGGAUACACGUAAGUAAUUUUAAUUUCCGUAGCCCAAAAUAACGAGAAGAAGAGAGAGACAGAGAAGAGAUGCUUUUUCAGGAAAUAAUCAGGCAUUAACAUUGUCAAUAUAUCUCUCUUCUUUCUAACAACCCAUCUCUUUAUCUUUUCUUUGUUCUAGCAAAAAUUCUUAAGGAGGCAGAAGAAGAAGAGAACCAUCGUAAGAAGAUAAAGACUUCUUACUCGCAUUUGAUAGACCGGUAAAUGUGACGAACGAAGAAAAGUGCAGCGCGGAAGCCGACAGUCCCGAGCAUUAAGAAGAACCCGUAGCAAAUGCAAGCCAUGUACCCGAAGAAGAACGAUGUUUGCAUGAAUCCAGACAUGUCUGAUCGUGCGUAGUAGUAGUAUAAGCAGUAGGCGUAGAUAAACAAACCGGUCGACCCACCGCAUAGGAAUGAUCUGCAAAUAAAAACAGUCUCAGGUUCUAUUGUUCAGAGAGAGAAGAAGGUAAAGACAAUGGGAAAUGGCUUAACGAACCUCCACCACCAUUGGUGAUCUUCAGCAGCGAGCUGGAAGUAAGUCAAGGCGACGGUUAUAAAAGCAGUGACAAUGAUGAGGAUGAUGAAGACAAUGAACAGGAUGCUGUAGAUGGUGUAGAUCCGGUGACCCCAGACACUAGCGAAAAUGUAGUAAAGCUCGAUGUAGAUGGCACUGAAAGGAAGAAAACCAGCCAUGGCCAUCUGAGGAACCGCGCUUCUGUACCAAGGGAGCGGCGGAAUCUCGCGGGGGUACUUGGUCGUGCGGCAGGGCGCUUGGAACUCAGCUUUGCAUGAUCAUCUUUUACAAUCCAUAAAAUAUAUAGAAAAGGAUACACGUAAGUAAUUUUAAUUUCCGUAGCCCAAAAUAACGAGAAGAAGAGAGAGACAGAGAAGAGAUGCUUUUUCAGGAAAUAAUCAGGCAUUAACAUUGUCAUUUUAUCUCUCUUCUUUCUAACAACCCAUCUCUUUAUCUUUUCUUUGUUCUAGCAAAAAUUCUUAAGGAGGCAGAAGAAGAAGAGAACCAUCGUAAGAAGAUAAAGACUUCUUACUCGCAUUUGAUAGACCGGUAAAUGUGACGAACGAAGAAAAGUGCAGCGCGGAAGCCGACAGUCCCGAGCAUUAAGAAGAACCCGUAGCAAAUGCAAGCCAUGUACCCGAAGAAGAACGAUGUUUGCAUGAAUCCAGACAUGUCUGAUCGUGCGUAGUAGUAGUAUAAGCAGUAGGCGUAGAUAAACAAACCGGUCGACCCACCGCAUAGGAAUGAUCUGCAAAUAAAAACAGUCUCAGGUUCUAUUGUUCAGAGAGAGAAGAAGGUAAAGACAAUGGGAAAUGGCUUAACGAACCUCCACCACCAUUGGUGAUCUUCAGCAGCGAGCUGGAAGUAAGUCAAGGCGACGGUUAUAAAAGCAGUGACAAUGAUGAGGAUGAUGAAGACAAUGAACAGGAUGCUGUAGAUGGUGUAGAUCCGGUGACCCCAGACACUAGCGAAAAUGUAGUAAAGCUCGAUGUAGAUGGCACUGAAAGGAAGAAAACCAGCCAUGGCCAUCUGAGGAACCGCGCUUCUGUACCAAGGGAGCGGCGGAAUCUCGCGGGGGUACUUGGUCGUGCGGCAGGGCGCUUGGAACUCAGCUUUGCUGUUUUUACCGGCGAUGCCACCUAAGACGAGUAGAGGCGAUGUGACUAGAGUCCAUAUAAGGACGAUCACGACAAUGGUUCCAAAGGGUAGUGCUGCGGUUGCAGUGUAGGUGAUGGCUACGGUGUUGAGGAAGCAGAAGGUUAGGAGUAAAGGACCGUGGGUGCUGUUUUUUAUGCUAAGGUAAAAGACUUCUUUUAUCUUCUAAAAAGUUGUCGUCAGCAUCAUCGUUCUCUGGUCUGGUGGUGUUAUUUUUAGUUAGAACAACAUGUAUACUGUGUCUUUCAGGCCGAAAUGGGGUGUACUGAGACCGAGUUGGGGGAUGAUGGUAGCGCUUGGAUAACAAAGUCUCAUAAUUUUCUGUUUCAAGUAAAGCGUUGUCCUUGGUAUCUUGUAAGUUACAUUCUCAAAUACCUUCAUUUUUUUUUUUGCUAUGUCUUGCCUGCCCCUCAUGACUUGAAGCCUACCUCUUUCUCUCGCUCGCUCAAUCAACUAUUUAGGAAGACAGUACUGGUGUGGUGAAAGUAGUGGGAGCUGAAGCUGCUGAUGACUUUCUUGAUACUCUGACACCGCAUUUGGAUAUGUCACUAAGUGAAAUCUUUGGUAGUAUUGUAGAACCUAAACAAGGCUCUCAGGUUACCUUUUCUCUUUCAUUUUUUUUUUGUCUUUCUCUGUUUAUUUUAGUCUUUUUCAUUGGGUUGGAACCAACAGUGUGAUUGUUUUCAUCUCUAGACGAUUUUUCGGGCUUCUCUCGAUACUGGUACCUCCUUAACUAUUAUUGGCGAGGUAAAGGAAGCCCCCAUGUGUUUAUUCUUUAUAUUGUGGAUCAUGUAAGAGUGGCUGUGCAAGCUAAUAUAAGUUGAUGUGUCUGUGUCCUUGUCUGUACUGUAGGCUGCUAGAGACGAAGCUGGUAAUCUCACGAUUCAAAACACCAAUGAACAGCCUUUUAGGAUCUUCAGUGGAGAGGGCUCGUUUGAUAAAAUGGUUGCCAACUUGAAGUCAAAUUCAGAGUAAGGACAGAGACUCAUCAUGUUUUUGUUUAUACAUGGUGAUGAUAAUCAAAUUUUCUUGUGUUAUUUUUUAUGCAGGUUUUAUUUUUUCUAUUCCAAGAUCUUUGGAACUAUUGCUUUUGCUAUAGUUGUUUUUAAAGGCGUGAGUUUCAUACGAAGGGUUUUACGUGAGAGAGCAGAUAAUGCUGAUUCAGACGACGAAGAAACGCCAUGAGGGAGUAGAAUCAGACAACAGUAGUUUAUAGGAUCAGCUUUAAAGGCUCAGGCAGAAGAAUCAGACACCAAUGAUUUAUAACUAGGAUAGAUUUUUUAUCUAUGGUAUUGGGUAGGCAAAAUGUUUAUGAAUAUUUUAACAAACCAUCGUUUCUUAUUCUGACAGAUGAACAAAUUUAAAAAAAAAUUAUAUUGUCCAAAUUAACUAUGUGAUUCUAUUACAUAGUUGAACACACGUUGAUUUAUUCUAUUUAUAGCUUUACAAAACUUGUUAAAAGGAUAUAAUUUAAUUUAAAUAAGAACAUUAUUUCAAUGUAAUAAAAGCAGACAUUUUCCCUUUGUUUGGAUCAAAUUAAUGUAAACAGCCAUUAAAUUAGUCAAUGAACAUAAAUUCACCAACUCGGACAUAUAAUGUACGAAAUAAAAACAUUUAAUUAAAAAGAAUAUCUGUUACAACUUACAAGUCAGUAAAAUGUUUAUAAAAAUAACAAAAGAAAGAGAAAAAAAAAAUACAAAAGUAAAAAAAAUUCAAACUUCCCUUGCAGAUUUUCUUCCUCAGACAUACAAACAAACAAACAGAACAUAAAAAGCAACCGUAUGAUAAAACAACUCUUAAACUCAGAUGGGGUUACCUGAAACUAAUCAUCUGAUGGUGACGAACUUGUUAGUCCCAUGUCUAGCCCAAUGGCUCUUAAGAUCAAUGGGGCUCCCAAAGUUAAACCCAUCAGAAGAAAGUUUCUCAAGAACCUUCUUAAACGCUCCUUGACUCAUCUUCCUCCCGGAGAUCCUCGCUCCACGGCGUUUAGUACUCAUCGGCAACGGGUGCAUCGAUAUGUUCGUGGUGCAACACGCAGACUGCCAACCGCCGCAUCCCCAACGGUAGCAUUGCUGAGGAGCUCCGGUGCAAGUGCAGACCGGUACAGGUAAACCGGAAAUGUCCAUGUUCACUCCGUUGAUAAUCAAGUCAACGCUUUUCUUAGCCGGUUUGACUCUUGAAACGUUAGUCUUGCUGUCGUUCUCUUCUUUCGGUUUACGAGGCUUCUUCCCCUUUGCUGUUGCGCUAGCUUUUGAGUUAGUCUUUCUCUUCUUGUUAGGCUGAACAAUCUCUUCUUCUUCUUCGCAUUUAACCGGGUUAUCCUCGGUUUGAUGAUGGUGAUGGUGAUGCAUGGACGGGGCUGAUGAAGUUUCGGGGAGAACGUUUCCGUAGUUAGGAGAGGUUGUUACAGGCAACAUGUUGAAGAACUUGUCCUUCUGUUGGUUAAUCCAGUUGUAGCUCAUGUGGAUUGGUGGCUCAGGGUGGUGGUAUGACCCGUUUUGGCCAAUCAUUAGAUUUGGAUCUCGACCGGGUAGAAACGGUUUAGUGUUCCGGUCAGCGCUUGACAUUAGCUGCAAACCGAGGUUGCCUUUGAACGUAGCAGCAGCUGGUUCGUAGUAACCCCAAUUGCGAAACCCAUCGUCAUCCAUUUUCAAAGAUCUACAAAACAUGUCAAUAUAAAAAAAAGACAAUCAGAGAUUCAAAUCCAAAUUCAGACAAAACAAAAGCCAGUUCAUG